UACGUAGGGUGCAAGCGUUAAUCGGAAUUACUGGGCGUAAAGCGUGUGCAGGCGGUUGGGUAAGACAGAUGUGAAAUCCCCGGGCUCAACCUGGGAACUGCAUUUGAGACUGCACAGCUGGAGUGCGGCAGAGGGGGAUGGAAUUCCGCGUGUAGCAGUGAAAUGCGUAGAUAUGCGGAGGAACACCGAUGGCGAAGGCAAUCCCCUGGGCCUGCACUGACGCUCAUGCACGAAAGCGUGGGGAGCAAACAGG
rnacentral:rRNA from 1 species